AACGAACGCUGGCGGCGUGGAUUAGGCAUGCAAGUCGAACGAGAAAGGUAUCUUCGGAUACUGAGUAAAGUGGCAAACGGGUGAGUAGCGCGUGGGGAACUUGCCUUUCAGUUGGGGAAAACAUUUCUAACGGAAUGCUAAUACCGAAUACGUUCUCUUUGCUGCAUGGCAAAGAGAGGAAAGGCGGCCUCUGUUUCAAGCUGUCGCUGAAAGAUAGCCCCGCGUCCCAUUAGCUAGUUGGUGAGGUAACGGCUCACCAAGGCUACGAUGGGUGGCCGGCCUUAGCGGGUGUCCGGCCACACUGGGACUGAGAUACGGCCCAGACUCCUACGGGAGGCAGCAGUCGAGAGGCUUCCACAAUGGGGGAAACCCUGAUGGAGCGACGCCGCGUGGGUGAUGAAGGUCUUCGGAUCGUAAAACCCUUUCUAGCAGAGAAGAAGUGAUUAAGUAUUAAUACCAUUUAGUCAAAGACGGUAUCUGCAUAAGAAGCUCCGGCUAACUCCGUGCCAGGG
rnacentral:rRNA from 1 species